AGUAUGUGAUGAUUGCCAUUGGUCCGUGUUUCUGAGUUCCUCUGAUUUAAGCAAAUGGCAUAGUCUGAUACU